rnacentral:rRNA from 1 species
CAGCCGCGGUAAUACGAAGGGUGCAAGCGUUAAUCGGAAUUACUGGGCGUAAAGCGUACGUAGGCGGUUUGCCAAGUCUGGUGUUAAAGCUAGGAGCUCAACUCCUGUGAUGCCCUGGAAACUGGCAGGCUUGAGUGCGGUAGGGGAAAGUGGAAUUCCGAGUGUAGCGGUGAAAUGCGUAGAUAUUCGGAAGAACGCCAGUGGCGAAAGCGACUUUCUGGGCCGCAACUGACGCUGAGGUACGAAAGCGUGGGGAGCAAAC